rnacentral:lncRNA from 1 species
CCUAACUUGCUCUCGCUUUCUACGGCAAUCAAGCAAUGAGUAAGGAAUAAGAUAUAGUCAAGGGGAACAAAAAAGAGAGAGAUCCGCAUUCUUUUUUUAGUUCUUCCUUGAUGACUGGAAGGGGAGAAUCAAUCCAAUCAUUUUAAGGGCACAAAGGCAAGCAUGACUCACGUAGAUCCAGAAUGGAAGGGCUGGUCACUCUCUAAUUAAGCACCUCUUGCGCCUCCUCA